rnacentral:SRP_RNA from 1 species
GCCGGGCAUGGUGGUGUAGUCCCAGCUACUCAGGAGACUGAGGUGGGAGGAUCGCUUGAGCCCAGGAAUCUGGGCUGUAGUAUGCUAUGCUGAUCGGGUGUCCGCACUAAGUUUGGCAACAAUAUGGUGACCUUCCAGGAGCCAGGGACCACCAGGUUGCCUAAGGAGGGGUGAACCAGCCCAGAUCAGAAACGGAGCAGGUCAAAACUCCUGUGCUGAUCAGUAGUGGCAUCUUGCCUAUGAAUAGCCACUGCACUCCAGCCUGGGCAACAUGGCAAGACCCCAUCUCU